ensembl:lncRNA
CCAGUACUUUUAAGUGUUCCAUUUAGAAACAUUAAAAUUAUGUAAGCCCUCUGUUCCUCACAUAGUUUUCCAGUUACCCUUCUUUCUUCCUUGUAACAAGAAAGAGUAAAGUGAAGAGCUGAAUAACCUGCCUCAGUAAACCACCCUGUCAAUAACUGCAAAAUACAGAGGUCUUGUAUAUCAGAAGACAUAUUGACAAGUCUCAUCCAACUUCUUAAUUGAAUUUCCUGAAAUAAACAGUCCUAAAAUAACUGAAAUUCCUAAAAAUAAACAUUGAACGUUUUCAGUCACAUCACAGGAUCUCUCUCUACUUACUAGAUGAUAAUCACCUUUAAAAUAACACCAGUUUGUAAUUUUUAAGUCACAUUUAUACAGCAAGCGCAAAAUAUUCUGCCUUUACAUACACACAUGGCUUACUGAGACUCUGAUGCUCUUUGUAGGAACUCCCCUCUGGGUCCCCUAUAGCUAUGGCACAAGAAGCAGCACUCAACUCAAAGGCAGAUAGCUGUAACCAUCAGCUUCGUCUUUGUAUUGCAGACAAAUCACAGUAAAACCCAAAGGAUCUACAGGAACACGUUUCCAAAUUUCACAGUGAAAACGACACCAAAAUACCAUCAAGGAUGAGAAUAGAGACAGUAAAGCUAAUCUUAAGUUAUUUCCAACACUUUUGGACAAAAUAAGAGCUGUAUCCUACCAACAGGGAGCAGAAGGACAGGGAAGGCAGUAUCAGCAAGCAGUGUCAUUUUUCCUCCCUUUCAGCAUAGCUUUUUUAUUUUUUUUUUUUUUUUUAAUACUUCUUCUGAGUGCUACUUUCAAUUUUUCACCUUUCCUUGCAACCAGUGAAGGGAAGAACGCUCUGUGUGCUGCUUCAUCUAGCACCGACCAACACAAGGGGAUAUCCACCUGGAAGUCUACACCUUUCGUUUCAAAGGUGAGAGAAAGGAACUUCAUCAGGAAAGUUGUGCGAAGGUAUUUCAGGUUUGGACACCUCUAACAGCUGAUUUCUUCAUUCCACUUCCCCAGCUGGAAUGUCACUGAUGAGCGAGCAGAUGCUGGCGAGACAGUGGCACCUCCCCAAAAUCCAUAGUAACUUCAUAACAUGUGACAACCACAUCUGCUCUGCCCAGAGCCAGUUUUCCACAAAGGAUGCCAACACUUUACAUUUCUCUGAUGAUUCCCUGCUCCUUCAAACUCAAUUGUUCCACAGAAUAUACUUAUGAUUACUUAGCACUUUAGCACCAUUUCAUACACUACUUCAAAUAACAGGAAACUUUAGUUUCUUAUGGUGUUUUCUAGCUUAUAAAUAAAUAAUUCAAAAUUAUAAGCUGGCACAUUUGAGCAGCUAGCCCUGCAAAACACAAUGUGAUCACACCAGUUCAAAUUUACAAGAACUUGAAACUUCAUGGAUAAAUUUUUUUAAAAAGGGACAAGCGACAAGAAGAACAGCAUUUCGCAUUUAAAACAAAAUUAAAACAUAAAAAAAUUAACAACAACAAAAUCCUCUUAGGGUAACUACAACUCUCCAAAUGGCUUUGUUCUAGGAUCGCACCGUACAUCAAGCCAGGAUGUGCCCAGAAAGUGAGCCAUGGACACGUUGAUGCGUUUCUAGUACAUUUUCCAGUGAACUUGCUAUGAGUGGGCAAAACCCAUCACUGACAAUGUUGUUAAAUAAAAUAGAUAAAAUCAGAUAAAAUCUGAAACAAUGUUUUAAUACUAUUUAAAAUUUAAUUUUAUUAUUCAAUUUAAUGUUAGUAAUAUUUUUAAAACUCUGGUGUUAACAAAGCCUUGGAGAUGGUUUCAAAUACUUACUAUCAAGGUUUAAGAACACCACAGCAUGGACUGUUAGGCUGGCAAAUUACCUCUACAUCUAAA